rnacentral:lncRNA from 1 species
CAACCUACAACACUUGCACCAGCAAUAUAAUAUCUUUGAAUUGUAAAUGUAUCUGCAACGCUCCUAAGAACAAUAAGGUCAGAAAGUGACACUGAAAGACAAGAUGGUUAAUUGGACCUGGAUGGCAUUUGCAUAGAGCAGCUAAUCACAUUCCAGAUCAUCAACACAAGGUCCCUACUUUUAAUGUACAGCAGUCUAAAAAGAGACGGCAAAAUAGCAGGGUAACCUCUUGAGUAUGCCAGGCAUUCUUGGACAACCAGCAUCCACCAGCAGGACAACCCCACAGCAAGGAAGCUCCAGCUGAGCUCUGGAACCAGAGGGGCGAUUUUCUGCUCUCCUGCACAGCUGUUUGUGUCUGAAGACCAGGAGACCAUAAAAGUGACAAAAAUAAACCAUGUUUCCCAUGAGUUCAAACUCUCUCUUGUGUUCCAAAAAAGGGUGUAGGUGGCACUGUACAAGCUUGCUUUCAACUGCCACUCAUGGAAGAUGUAUUUACUUAAUUCAAGGAGAAAUCGCUAUAGUCUUUGCUUUCUACAGAUUACCCUGCAGACCAGAACUUUGAAAUUGCUGCUUGGCCUGAAUCUUUCUAACAAAGUCAGCCUAAGGCAUCAAUCACUGAAAUUAAUUAAAAUUUAGAGAAAGCAAUAAAUACUUGCAACAGAAGGGUUAGGUAGGCGCAGCACUACGUGCUGGUAUUCACAGCUACAGUAACUUCAGGAGAAACAUAAUUUAACCACAGCCAGCACACCUGAAGGAUCAUGCCCAACCAGCUGCGUUCUGAUGGAAGAUAUUUCCCAAUCAGUCAAGAAGCCAUGAGGAUUUUUUUGCUCAUCAACACCUACGCCAAGCUUAGCCUGGAUGGGAGGAAACUCUGAGAACAGACUGCUUUAUGAACACUGG